rnacentral:rRNA from 1 species
UGCAGUCGACCAUGGAACCUACCUUCGGGAGGGGAUUAGUGGCGAACGGGUGAGUAACACGUGGGCAAUCUGCCCUUCACUCUGGGACAAGCCCUGGAAACGGGGUCUAAUACCGGAUACGACUACCGACCGCAUGGUCUGGUGGUGGAAAGCUCCGGCGGUGAAGGAUGAGCCCGCGGCCUAUCAGCUUGUUGGUGGGGUGAUGGCCUACCAAGGCGACGACGGGUAGCCGGCCUGAGAGGGCGACCGGCCACACUGGGACUGAGACACGGCCCAGACUCCUACGGGAGGCAGCAGUGGGGAAUAUUGCACAAUGGGCGAAAGCCUGAUGCAGCGACGCCGCGUGAGGGAUGACGGCCUUCGGGUUGUAAACCUCUUUCAGCAGGGAAGAAGCGAGAGUGACGGUACCUGCAGAAGAAGCGCCGGCUAACUACGUGCCAGCAGCCGCGGUAAUACGUAGGGCGCAAGCGUUGUCCGGAAUUAUUGGGCGUAAAGAGCUCGUAGGCGGCUUGUCACGUCGGAUGUGAAAGCCCGGGGCUUAACCCCGGGUCUGCAUUCGAUACGGGCAGGCUAGAGUUCGGUAGGGGAGAUCGGAAUUCCUGGUGUAGCGGUGAAAUGCGCAGAUAUCAGGAGGAACACCGGUGGCGAAGGCGGAUCUCUGGGCCGAUACUGACGCUGAGGAGCGAAAGCGUGGGGGAGCGAACAGGAUUAGAUACCCUGGUAGUCCACGCCGUAAACGUUGGGAACUAGGUGUGGGCGACAUUCCACGUCGUCCGUGCCGCAGCUAACGCAUUAAGUUCCCCGCCUGGGGGAGUACGGCCGCAAGGGCUAAAACUCAAAGGAAAUUGACGGGGGGCCCGCACAAAGCAGCGGAAGCAUGUGGCUUUAAUUUCGAACGCAACGCGAAAGAAACUUUACCAAAGGCUUUGACAUACACCCGGAAAACGUUCUGGGAGAACAGGGCGCCCCCCUUGUGGGUCGGGUGUACAGGGUGGGUGCAUGGGCUGUUCGUCAGCUUCGUGUCCGUGAGAAUGUUUGGGGUUUAAGUCCCCGCAAACGAAGGCGCAAACCCCUUUGUUUCUGGUGUUUGCCCAGCCAUGCCCCCUUUCGGGGGGUGGAUGGGGGGAACUCCACCAGGGAAAAAUCUGCCCCGGGGGGUUCAACUUCGGGA